rnacentral:rRNA from 1 species
CGUGUAGGCGGACUCGCAAGUCGGUUGUGAAAUCCCUGGGCUCAACCUAGGAACUGCAUCCGAAACUGCUUGUCUUGAGUAAUGGAGAGGGUGGCGGAAUUCCCGGUGUAGAGGUGAAAUUCGUAGAUAUCGGGAGGAACAUCAGUGGCGAAGGCGGCCACCUGGACAUUUACUGACGCUGAGACGCGAAAGCGUGGGGAGCAAACAGGAUUAGAUACCCUGGUAGUC